rnacentral:ncRNA from 1 species
ACAAGCUGUGGAACAUCUUUAUAUGAUGAACCGCGUACUUUUUGUAGAACGGUCCGGCGAGUUACGCGUGCCGGCAAGGUUAAGCACUUAAGGUGUGGAGCCGAAGAGAAAUCGAGUCUGAACAGGGCGUUCAGUCAGCACGCGUAGACCCGAAACCGGGUGAUCUACCCAUGUCCAGGUUGAAGUUGCCGUAAAAGGCAAUGGAGGACCGAACGCACAUCCGUUGAAAAGGGUGGCGAUGAGGUGUGGGUAGGGGAGAAAUUCCAAUCGAACCCGGAGAUAGCUGGUUCUCCUCGAAAUAGCUUUAGGGCUAGCCUCAUUUUAGUCUUAUGGAGGUAGAGCACUGAAUUUCCGCGGGGGCGUCAAAGCUUACCAAAGAAUAUCAAACUCCGAAUGCCAUGUAGAUGAUGAAUGGGAGUCAGACUGCACGAGAUAAGUUGGGUGGUCAAAAGGGAAAGAGCCCAGACCUACAGCUAAGGUCCCAAAGUGCGUGUUAAGUGGAAAAGGAUGUGGGAUUUCAAAGACAACCAGGAUGUUGGCUCAGAAGCAGCCAUACAUUCAAAGAGUGCGUAACAGCUCACUGGUCGAGAGGUCCUGCGCCGAAAAUGUCCGGGGCUGAAACACGACACCGAAGCUUAGGAAUCACAUAGUGAUUGGUAGAGGAGCAUUCUUAAAACCGACGAAGCUGUACCGGAAGGAGCAGUGGAGGGAUAAGAAGAGAGAAUGCCGGAAUGAGUAGCGAGAGGAAGGUGGGAAUCCUUCCGGCCGAAUAUCUAAGGUUUCCAGAGUAAAGCUGAUCUGCUCUGGGUAAGUCGGGGCCUAAGGAGAGGUCGAAAGACGUAUCCGAUGGACAACAGGUUUAGAUUCCUGUACCACAUAUAAACAGAACUGUGGGGACGCAUGUGGAAAGCAUAAGCCGGGAAUGGAAAUACCGGUACAAGCGGAAGAGGUGUCAGGCUGGCAAAUCCGCCUGGCAAGCCAAAGACGUGAUGUGGAGCGAAAUAAAAGUAGCGAAGUAUGUGAGCCAUGUGCCGAGAAAAGCCGCUAUUGUUUUAUAUGUGCCCGUACCGUAAACCGACACAGGUGGAUGAGGAGAGAAUCCUAAGGCCGACGGAAGAAGCAUUGUUAAGGAACUCGGCAAAAUGACCCCGUAACUUCGGGAGAAGGGGUGCCCACUUCAGGGUGGGCCGCAGAGAAUAGGCUCAAGCAACUGUUUAGCAAAAACACAGGUCUAUGCGAAACCGUAAGGUGAAGUAUAUGGGCUGACGCCUGCCCGGUGCUGGAAGGUUAAGAGGAGAGGUUAGUCGCAAGAUGAAGCUUUGAAUUUAAGCCCCAGUAAACGGCGGCCGUAACUAUAACGGUCCUAAGGUAGCGAAAUUCCUUGUCGGGUAAGUUCCGACCCGCACGAAAGGCGUAAUGAUUUGAGCACUGUCUCGACAAUGCAUCCGGUGAAAUUG